rnacentral:piRNA from 1 species
UGCUGAAGGAUCCUUUGAGCCCUGGGCUGC